UCCCGUCGCUCUGACGGCGGCUCAGACGCCCGCGGAGGCGGCUCAGCGGGGCAAGCCGAGGAAGGGGCCGAGCACCGGGACCCCUCCUCCUCCGCUCGCGGCGCGCCGCGCGCCCCCGCGUCUCCUGGCGCGCCCCCGCGCCCUCGCGCCCGCUCGGGCAGACACCUACGCAGACGCGAAAGUGAAAGGGGGGCGACUGGGCCCGGCAGGCGGGCGGCCGGCGGCACGCGGGCACGCGGCGGGGGACAGAGGAUGGAUGGGUGAACCCGGAUCCCGGGAUUCUCCCGCGCCCGCUGCCCCACUGCGGAGCCUCCCUGGAGUCCCACGCCCCCACCCCGGCCGCGGAGAUCACCACGUCAGGAGAUAUGUAUGCGUGUGCAUGUGUGUGCGCGCGUGUUCACGCGCGUGUGCGAGCAGGCUAACCUGGGCUUGUUCAUGUGGUGGUGGAAGAUUUCCCAGCAGCAAGAGUGUCGGCUCCAGUAUACAGAUGUUGUCAAGUCUCUGCCUGCAUCAUUUGCAUCUUUGACCAAACCAGACAACUACUUUCUUUGGAAGCUGCUUCUCUUCAGCACUGUGGGUGUGGUACUCCCUUGGUGGCAGGAUGGAGUCAGCCAAAAGGAAUUAAAGCUCCAAAUUUGACAGAGGCCAAGAAAAUGUGGCAAAAGAUGAUACGGCAUAAGGCACCAUCUUGGAAGCAGAGAGCAACCGUCACCAGCCAACCCAACCUGACAGUGCCUUGAUCUUGAACUUCCCAGCUUCCAGAACUGUGAGAAAAUAAAUUUCUUUUCCUUGUAAAUUAUGACAUCUCAGAUAUUCUGUUGUAGCUGCACAAAACAGACGAAGACAGGGCCCUUAUAGGGGCCACUGUCCAUUUCAUUGUAGAUAGUUUAGAAAUGGCCUUUCUUAGAGCAGCUUGGAAGUAAUGAAAUGCUAAUUAAAAGGUGCAAUUCAGCAGUAAGUCUUUGUUAGUACAGCUUAUCUUCCUGGACCCUUGCCCUCUUACUAUUUCCUCUUCUUUAGUUCUAACCAUACUAUAGCUACUACCAAUAUUUGGACUCUAUUUAACUACAUUUGAGUCUCAGGCUUUCCCUGAAAUGAUGUAUAUCUCUAUCUAUCUAUCUAUCUAUCUAUCUAUCUAUCUAUCUGUCUGUCUGUCUGUCUGUCUGUCUGUCUGUCUGUCUGUCUGUCUGUCUGUCUAUCUAUCUAUCAUCUAUCUAUCUAAAUGUAAAUAUAGAUAUACAUCAGUAUCUCCCUGGAGGAAUAAACAGAUUCUCACUUUUUUCUUUGGUUUUUAUUUUUAUUUUUUGUUUUGACAAUUCUCAAUCACUGGAAUUGCCUUUGUACAUGACUUUCUGUGCUCACUGUAGGGUCUUUUUGAAUAAGUGCUUACUUGUACCCAGUAUUAAUAUUUUCAUGACUAAUCUUUCUGAGAUUGAUAGCAACCACAUUGCUUAUUAGCCUUAAUGGGAAAGUAAAAUGUUUCUUCAUUUCUCAACUAUGAUUUUCAUAUCAGCUGGGUCAAGAGUCCAUCUGACAUAGGAAGAGUUAUUGAAUACUAAUUUAUACAGUACACUCAUUGGCUUGAAAAUAUAUGUUAGCAUUACUGUGUCCUUAAUUCUGAGUUUAGAUAUAACUGAAAUAUAGGGAGCGUUAAUACAUUUAGUUUCCAUGCAUAGAGAUAGGUUUUUUAAUACUCAGUAUUCAUAUUUAUGAAAAAUAAGCUACAUAUCAGCAUUUGAGCCAAUGGCCUUAACCCAGAUUUUUAGCAGUAAAAUACUACAACACCGAUUUCUGAUUCAUACCCUUCAUAAACAGGCCUCAUGCCUCCCAAUGUGGUUUUGGUAAGCAUCUUUUUCAUUAUUUCAUUUUCCUGUCAAUAAAAUUGGCAUUGAAUUAUAUUUUGGGGUCCAUACAUGGGCUGCAUGUAUAUAAACUGCAAAGUAUUAUUACUAAUAAUAGACACACUGAACUUUGAGGGUUGAUAACUAUCUAAACGGGCAUACUAAGUUUAAUACAGCUUAUCAGGUAAAGUUUGAUUUAACAAGGUGGCUUUCACAAUUGACUGUGUUUCUUAUUCUAAAUUUUUCCAUGAAUAUUUUCAUUUGCACCUUGAGGACUGUAUCUCAGCAUCUCGAAGUGCCUUGUGUUAUCUAUCACUAUUACACUGUCACCUGAGAAAAAGAUAAAAGUUCCAUAUAGACUUAUUUAAUACAGAUAUUCUAUUUUUAAAUAGUAUGUCAUUUAUAGACUGUGAAGAUAUAAAAUAAGCAGAUUUUUUUUUCCCUUAUCUUUGUGGUCAGCAGCUUCCUUCACUGAUUUUUGCAUCUUAGGUAUACUUUAGCAAGUAACAACAAUAAAAAACUCCAUGUCAAAUAAAAACAGCCUGAAAAAUGGUGCCUUCUUGCUGAUGGCAUUAGUGAUAUUAUGGAACACAAUUCCUGUGUUUUAAAAAACAAUGGAACUUGUUAUGGAAUUGAGUUUCCCAGAGAGUGCCACAUGACCGCAGGCUAUUAAUUAUACAGUUUUAUUGUUAACUUUUGUUCAGAACAAUAGUGCUCUGGAGGUCCUGUGGAACUUUUCUCCCAUGCGAUCUUGUCGGGUUUUGAUUAAGCAUCAUUAUAUACAGUUCAUUAACAAUGUAUCUUAAAAUGAGUUUUUGAUUGAACAUUUUUAUUGGUCAUUUACUGUAAUUGAUGGAUUCUGCUGCAAUUUCACAUAGAAAAUUUGCCAGGAUAGUAACAGUAUUUUUCAUUAUGUAUCAUUAUGCUUUCCCCGCCCCCCAAAAGAAUACAAGUUUCCUCAAAAAAAAAAUUUAACUAAAAUAUUAGAUAUUGAUCCAUUGCAAAGGCAGUUGCUCUUUCCAUAGUUCAUUCAGAAAGGACACAAACUAGUAAUAAUGAAUAGGAAUGAGAAAAAUUUGUAAACUUAAAUAAUUUUAUUAAUGUUGCCCUUUUCCCCCUGGUGCCCAAGUCAUUCUUUAGGGAAGUAAAUCAUCUCUUUCCAGUUGGUAAGUGUCCUUUCAAUGUAGUAUUAAAUCUGAGCUGUUUACCUGGAUUCUCCAAUAUUUUAUUAGCCACAAUAUUCACCGAUUCUGCUUUUAAUCUUUUAAAAAUCCCUUUAAUCAAAGAGUUAUAAUUUGGCAAUAAAUCAUCUGGUUACUUUUGAGAAUGCCCUUGUAUUUAAAGAAACUUUAAACAUGUCUUAGAAAUUAUUUAAUACAUUAGUAAAAACUGCCCUGGAAGAUUUUGAUAGUGAAUUAUUGUCACUGGAGGUGUUCAGGCAUGGCUACAUAGCUGCUUGCUGAGAAGGAGAAAAGGACAAAAUAGGUGAUCUUCAGUAUUUCUUCCAGUUUGAAUCUUUUAUCAACUACUCAUAUAAUAACAGCAUAAGACAUAGGCCAAAGGUAGAAAAAGAACUGGUGAAGGAUUGUGAAUAGUACUGCCCGGCCUCGGGAGGUUACUUAACUUAUCUUGGCUUUAGUUACUCUAUCCGUGAUAAUGAGGAAAUUGGAUUAGAUGGCCUUAAGGAUUUUUUCCUACUGGAAUAUUCCAUGUUUCCCUAUUUUGCUAAUGGUUGAGGAGUAAAUUAAAGUCUUCUAGGAGACUAUUUUUCAAUUGGGAAAAACUAGACACUUCAGGCAAUAGAGUCCACUAACAAAUACUGGCAAAUUUAUAAAAUUUCAGUGAAUUGACAGUUUGGCUAUCUAUUGUAUCUAUUACACUAACACAUAUUCCUGCUUCACCUAACUUUUUGUAUAAUUUUUCUCCCACUGAAAUUGUGAAUAAUAUAUACAUUCAGGAAAAAAGCUUUCUCUUCAUGAUUGUCUAUUUUCUUAUUUGAAAUAGCAAUUACUGCUGCCUCUGGAAGUUUCUAUGAAGUGGAACAUACUUUGUCAUUGUCAUCAUAGAGAAAGGGUCAAAUUAAAGAUUUAGGUGCUGAGCAUGGGUUAUUUUUUCAGGAAAGGAAGAGCUGGUCCUUGCUUACUUAUCUAAAUAUCAUCUAUUGAUGUAAUUGUCCUUCCCCCGUAUCUGUUUUCCUCUUUUCUCCCCUGGGUAGAAUAUAAGGCCUAUUCGCUUACAAAUAUAUGUCUAACUUUGUGGUGAAAUAAGGUAAAUGUCAGGUAGAUGGAGCGAUUAGAAAUUAGCCGACCAGGUCGGGCACUGUGGCUCACGCCUGUAAUCCCAGCACUUUGGGAGGCCGAGGCGGGUGGAUCACGAGGUCAGGAGAUCGAGACCAUCCUGGCUAACAUGGUGAAACCCCGUCUCUACAAAAAAGAUACAAAAAAUUAGCCGGGCAUCGUGGCAGGCGCCUGUAGUCCCAGCUACUUGGGAGGCUGAGGCAGGAAAAUGGCAUGAACCCGGGAGGCGGAGCUUUCAGUGAGUCGAGAUCGCACCACUGCACUACAGCCUGGGUGACAGAGCGAGACUCUGUCUCAAAAAAAAAAAAAAACAAAAAAAGAGAUUAGCCAACCAACCAUUUUUUGAGAGGUCCCAAAGUAUUAAAUAUUCUGGAACUUGAAAGAAAAGGAAUCCUAAAUGUAAAGCCCAUAUUUUAAUAUUUU